rnacentral:ncRNA from 1 species
GCGGCUUAAUUUGAUUCAACGCGGAAAAAUUCACCUGGGCCGGACACCUGACAGAUCGAGAGCUCUUUCUUGAUUCUGUGGUUGGUGGGGCAUGGUCUUUCCUAGGGACCGUCUGUGAUUUCAAAGUAAAGCCAAGCUAAACGUCUUUACUAUUUUCGUGGUAACCCUUGGAAUUUGCACUUUUUUUUUUCAUCAUAUUCUUACAUUUCAGGGCGUUAUUUGCGUAAAAUCUCGUUGUCGCCACCAGGACAAAAUAAUCGAUUGAUGACACUGGCUUGCGCUAUAUGC